UGCAAGUGAUGUUCUUUCUCACGAUGGUCUUCCAAGCUCAGCGCUUUGACGACACUGCCUUAUGGCUUUGCUGAUGCAGCUCU